rnacentral:rRNA from 1 species
UACGAGUGCCCCAAGCGUUAUCCGGAAUUAUUGGGCGUAAAGGGUGAGUAGGUGGUCAUAUUAGUCUUGUGUUAAAGCCUUCGGCUCAACCGAAGAUCUGCAUAGGAAACGGUAUGACUAGAGUGUGUGAGAGGUACGUAGAACUCAUGGAGUAGGGGUGAAAUCCGUUGAUACCAUGGGGAAUACCAAAAGCGUAGGCAGCGUACUGGCACAUGACUGACACUGAAUCACGAAAGCGUGGGUAGCGAAUGGG